UACGGAGGGUGCGAGCGUUGUCCGGAAUCACUGGGCGUAAAGGGCGCGUAGGCGGCAUGCCAAGCGUGUGGUGAAAGCCCGGGGCUCAACCCCGGGCCGGCCGUGCGGACUGGCGUGCUCGAGCACUGUAGGGGCGGGUGGAAUUCCGGGUGGUAGCGGUGGAAUGCGUAGAGAUCCGGAAGAACACCGGUGGCGAAGGCGGCCCGACUGGGCAGGAGACGACCGCAAGGUGUCGGCUGACGCUGAGGCGCGCAGCGGUGGGGAAGCAAACAGG
rnacentral:rRNA from 1 species